GCUUGAGUGGGGCAAGUGGUUAAGCACUUGGCUACUAACCAAAAGAUUGGUGGUUCCAAUCUACCCUGAAGCU
rnacentral:tRNA from 1 species